CAACCUGAGCUCAGUCGUGAUUACCCGCUGAACUUAAGCAU
rnacentral:rRNA from 1 species